UCGGGGUACUCGAGCGGCGAACGGGUGAGUAACACGUGAGCAACCUGCCCCAGGCUUUGGGAUAACCCCGGGAAACCGGGGCUAAUACCGAAUAUGACCUCUGACCGCAUGGUUGGUGGUGGAAAGUUUUUCGGCUUGGGAUGGGCUCGCGGCCUAUCAGCUUGUUGGUGGGGUGAUGGCCUACCAAGGCGACGACGGGUAGCCGGCCUGAGAGGGCGACCGGCCACACUGGGACUGAGACACGGCCCAGACUCCUACGGGAGGCAGCAGUGGGGAAUAUUGCACAAUGGGCGGAAGCCUGAUGCAGCGACGCCGCGUGAGGGAUGACGGCCUUCGGGUUGUAAACCUCUUUCAGCAGGGACGAAGCGUAAGUGACGGUACCUGCAGAAGAAGCGCCGGCCAACUACGUGCCAGCAGCCGCGGUAAGACGUAGGGCGCGAGCGUUGUCCGGAUUUAUUGGGCGUAAAGAGCUCGUAGGCGGCUUGUCGCGUCGACCGUGAAAACUUGGGGCUCAACCCCAAGCCUGCGGUCGAUACGGGCAGGCUAGAGUUCGGUAGGGGAGACUGGAAUUCCUGGUGUAGCGGUGAAAUGCGCAGAUAUCAGGAG
rnacentral:rRNA from 1 species